AGCGAACGCUGGCGGCAGGCCUAACACAUGCAAGUCGAACGAAGCCUUCGGGCUUAGUGGCGGACGGGUGAGUAACACGUGGGAACGUACCUUUUGGUUCGGAACAACUCAGGGAAACUUGAACUAAUACCGGAUGAGCCCUUAGGGGGAAAGAUUUAUCGCCGAAAGAGCGGCCCGCGUUAGAUUAGCUAGUUGGUGAGGUAAAGGCUCACCAAGGCUACGAUCUAUAGCUGGUUUGAGAGGAUGAUCAGCCACACUGGGACUGAGACACGGCCCAGACUCCUACGGGAGGCAGCAGUGGGGAAUCUUGCGCAAUGGGCGAAAGCCUGACGCAGCCAUGCCGCGUGAAUGAUGAAGGUCUUAGGAUUGUAAAAUUCUUUUACCAGGGACGAUAAUGACGGUACCUGGAGAAAAAGCCCCGGCUAACUUCGUGCCAGCAGCCGCCGUAAAAC
rnacentral:rRNA from 1 species